rnacentral:tRNA from 1 species
GUCGGGAUGGCCGAGUGGUCUGAGGCGCCAGACUCGAGUUCUGGUCUCCGUAUGGAGGAGUGGGUUCGAAUCCCACUUCCGACA